AGAGUUUGAUCAUGGCUCAGAUUGAACGCUGGCGGCAGGCCUAACACAUGCAAGUCGAGCGGUAGAGAGGUGCUUGCACCUCUUGAGAGCGGCGGACGGGUGAGUAAUGCCUAGGAAUCUGCCUGGUAGUGGGGGAUAACGUCCGGAAACGGACGCUAAUACCGCAUACGUCCUACGGGAGAAAGCAGGGGACCUUCGGGCCUUGCGCUAUCAGAUGAGCCUAGGUCGGAUUAGCUAGUUGGUGAGGUAAAGGCUCACCAAGGCGACGAUCCGUAACUGGUCUGAGAGGAUGAUCAGUCACACUGGAACUGAGACACGGUCCAGACUUCUACGGGAGGCAGCAGUGGGGAAUAUUGGACAAUGGGCGAAAGCCUGAUCCAGCCAUGCCGCGUGUGUGAAGAAGGUCUUCGGAUUGUAAAGCACUUUAAGUUGGGAGGAAGGGUCGUUACCUAAUACGUGACGAUUUUGACGUUACCGACAGAAUAAGCACCGGCUAACUCUGUGCCAGCAGCCGCGGUAAUACAGAGGGUGCAAGCGUUAAUCGGAAUUACUGGGCGUAAAGCGCGCGUAGGUGGUUUGUUAAGUUGAAUGUGAAAUCCCCGGGCUCAACCUGGGAACUGCAUCCAAAACUGGCAAGCUAGAGUAGGGCAGAGGGUGGUGGAAUUUCCUGUAGCGGUGAAAUGCGUAGAUAUAGGAAGGAACACCAGUGGCGAAGGCGACCACCUGGGCUCAUACUGACACUGAGGUGCGAAAGCGUGGGGAGCAAACAGGAUUAGAUACCCUAGUAGUCC
rnacentral:rRNA from 1 species